GAUCAGAAAUUUUGGACAGGCAGUGGGAAAUUAUAUAGAGCCCACCCAGGAAUCAGAUCAGGAGUGUGCCCUGACAGAACAGAUGAGGGAAGAGGAUGUUUCUGAAUCUUGGGCGCCAGAGAUGGAGGGAGCUGUGGCCCAGCAGGAACAUGAAUUCUUGGAUUUGACAAAUGAACUUGGAAAAAGCCAGAUUUGGAAAGAUAAAGUUUGGUUUGGUUUGGAAAUGGGGGGUUGGAUAGACCCCCCUAUGCAGGGAGGUUUGGACUUUUCAAGUCUGGCAAUGGGCCGUGAGAUGUUUGGGGUUGUGGGGGCUCUUAAUUUUGGAGGGACUUUGAAACAUGUUCUUAAGUUUUGGGCUGGGUUGCCAUCAGUAUGCUGAUGACACCCAACUCUAUCUGUUGAUGGAUGGCCAUCCUGACUCGGCCCCAGACACACUGACCAGAUGUCUGGAAGCUGUGGCUGGAUGGUUACGUGGGAGCCGGUUGAAGUUAAAUCCUUCGAAGACAGAGGUCCUCUGGCUGGG